rnacentral:rRNA from 1 species
GAUGAACGCUAGCGGCAGGCCUAACACAUGCAAGUCGAGGGGUAGAACACUUCGGUGUUUGAGACCGGCGCACGGGUGCGUAACGCGUAUGCAAUCUACCUUGUACAGGGGAAUAGCCCAGAGAAAUUUGGAUUAAUGCCCCAUAGUAUAUAACCUUCGCAUGUUGGUUAUAUUAAAGUUCCAACGGUACAAGAUGAGCAUGCGUCCCAUUAGUUAGUUGGUAAGGUAACGGCUUACCAAGACGAUGAUGGGUAGGGGUCCUGAGAGGGAGAUCCCCCACGCUGGUACUGGGACACGGACCAGACUCCUACGGGAGGCAGCAGUGAGGAAUAUUAGUCAAUGGGCGCAAGCCUGAACCAGCCAUGCCGAGUGCAGGAAGACGGUCCUAUGGAUUGUAAACUGCUUUUAUACAGGAAGAAACCCUCCCACGUGUGGGAGAUUGACGGUACUGUAGGAAUAAGGAUCGGCUAACUCCGUGCCAGCCGCCGCUGUAAAAC